UUACGGCCAUAUCAUGUUGAAACACCAGGUCUUGUCCAAUCACUGAAAUUAAGCCAUAUUGUGCCUGGUCAGUACCUAGAUGGGUGACCACUUGGGAAUAUCAGGUGCUGUAA